UACGUAGGGUGCAAGCGUUAAUCGGAAUUACUGGGCGUAAAGCGCACGCAGGUGGCUGAGUCAGUCGAUUGUGAAAGCCCUGGGCUUAACCUGGGAAUUGCAGUCGAUACUACCCAGCUAGAGUACGGAAGAGGCAAGUGGAAUUCCUGGUGUAGCGGUGAAAUGCGCAGAUAUCAGAGGACACCGGUGGCGAAGGGCGGAUGGUCUGGGCCGGCACUGCGCUGAGGAGCGAAAGCGUGGGUAGGCAAACAGGA
rnacentral:rRNA from 1 species